CACGAUCCAAACACACAAACCUCAUCUUCUUCUCUUCUUCAUCUAUUCACCCAUUUUCCAAUCCAAUAAAACUCAAAUUUCAUACAAACAACAACCAAAUCUCAAACAAAAAACAAACAACCAAAUGAGUUAAUCAAAAGCAAGAAGUGGAAGACGAAUCGAAAGAGCAUUACCGCUGGAAUUGAUACGUUGCGAUUAACCGGCGGUCGGCAUCUUCGUCCCUUCUCCAAUGAAAUCUACGGCGCACCUUCCUCUUCCCUUCUCUUUCUCUAAUCGAUCUCCCUUCCUCCCUACCAUGGCUUUCUCUGCAAAAUCCACUCAAAUCGAGCAUUGAAUCACAAACGAAAUCGACAAGUAGGAAAUUAUUACCGAUCGUCCUUAGAAGCUUGCGAAUAUUGUGUCGGUAUUGUUGAUGUCCGGCAAGGAUUCCGACGAGGCCUGAUCCGACGGCGGCAGCGACGAACAUCAGUCAGUGUGGUUCCGGCGUGGGCUGAUUGUUGUGGUAAUCUCGCGGUUGCGCGCACACGGCAGUCCCGUCGGUCUUGUUGUGGGUUGCUGUUGAGCAGCGCAGCGACGGUUUGUGGGACUGAUAUUGUGUUAGGUGAAAGAGAUUUGUGAGCAUCUGUUGCAUUAUGAUGAUGAUUCCGUAUCGGUGUUGCGCAACAGCAUUGAGGAUAGGCCUUUGGUUCUGCGUGAGGCUGGAUGGCGAUUGUGUUGCCGGAUCGGAGGAAGGCGGCGCGUCGACUCUUCGUUGUUAGAGGCAGACUCGCGGGUUGCUGAAUCGAGCGGUUUCGUGGAGGCGGCACGGUGUUGGUUGGCUGCUUCAAUGUUGAUCCUCUUCCCGUUCUUCCUCUUUAAUCUCUCCCUGUAUUCAAAAUAAAUAACCAAACAGAUUGUUUCAAUUCAUAUGUCAGUGGUUCAAUAAUUUGUAUAAACUUCUUAAA